CUUUAAAACCUAGAUAUUGAAAAUUAAUUUUAGGGUUUGUCAUUCUUUUUAAUACUGUUUCGUUUUUGAUGCAACAAGUUUUUUUAUUGAAUUUGUUGGUAUAAAAUCUACUUCAAAAAGGAAUUGGUUCUAUCGAAUGUUUUGUAAGUCUAAUGUUUAAAACAUUAAAUAAAGAAUUUGGAUAUAAAGUAAAUAGAUCAUGUGUCACAACAUCUUAUCAUUUGAAUCUGUUAUCUUUAUCUUUUAAAUGGCCAAGUGUUAAAAAACUGUGAUUUGGGUAUAAGGAAUUUCCAAUGUUCUUCAACACCUGUCCAGCCAUGUGCCACGACAUCUUAUGUGAAUUCAUUAUCUUUUCAUUUUAGAUGACCAACUGUCAAAAAUCUGUAAUUUGUAAAAUAAUUUAUACGUAUUUUGUAAAUAUUAUAAUUGCUUAUGUAGGUAUUUACAUCUAUUUUUAAGGUUACGUUAUAUAUGAAAUAUAUUUUAUCAAUUUUGGCAUUCUAUUUAGCAUUAUGUUUUGCUUGUAUAUAUAAAUCUUAAAUGUUUUGCUGAUUUUUUUCUUUUAAAAUUUUAAAUGUUGUUUGAUUAUUAUUUUUUCAUUUUCAGAUUGAUUAGAAGAAGAAUAUAAAAAGCAAAGAAGGUAUCUUGUCAUUUAUUUAAUUUUAAGAUUUUAAAUCUAGGUUCUCAAAAUAACUUUGAUUUUAGAAAUGUCCAUACUCAAUAAUUCAUUCUCUGCACACUUGGAUCUCCUUUCUGUAUUUUUUUACAUAUUUGGGCAUUAUUUUGCUGAUUUGCUUGUAUUUUUUUUUCAUAUUUGGGGUUUUCAUUUUUAUUAGCAUCAUGUUGUUGUUGCUGAUUUGCUUGCUGAAUUCCUUAGCAUUUCAUUUAGCAUUAUGUUUGAUUAUAUAUAAAUCGUAAUGUUUGUUGCUGAUUUAUUUGCUUGCUAAUGUUUGUAUUUUGCUUCUAUAAAUAAAUCUUAAAUGUUUUGCUGAUUUUUUUCUUUUAAAAUUUUAAAUGUUGUUUGAUUAUUAUUUUUUUCUUUUUCAGAUUGAUUAGAAGAAGAAUAUAAAAGGCAAAAAAGGUAUCUUGUCAUUUAUUUAAUUUUAAGAUUUUAAAUCUAGGUUCUCAAAAUAACUUUGAUUUUAGAAAUGUCCAUACUCAAUAAUUCAUUCUCUGCACACUUGGAUCUCCUUUCUGUAUUUUUUUACAUAUUUGGGUAUUAUGUCGCUGAUUUGCUUGUAUUUUUUUUUCAUAUUUGGGGUUUUCAUUUUUAUUAGCAUCAUGUUGUUGUUGCUGAUUUGCUUGCUGAAUUCCUUAGCAUUUCAUUUAGCAUUAUGUUUGAUUAUAUAUAAAUCUUAAAUGUUUGUUGCUGAUUUAUUUGCUUGCUAAUGUUUGUAUUUUGCUUCUAUAUAUAAAUCUUAAAUGUUUUGCUGAUUUUUUUUUUUAAAUUUUAAAUGUUGUCUGAUUAUUUUUUUUUUUUUUUCCAGAUUGAUUAGAAGAAGAAUAUAAAAGGCAAAGAAGGUAUCUUGUCAUUUAUUUAAUUUUAAGAUUUUAAAUCUAGGUUCUCAAAAUAACUUUGAUUUUAGAAAUGUCCAUACUCAAUAAUUCAUUCUCUGCACACUUGGAUCUCCUUUAUGUAUUUUUUUACAUAUUUGGGCAUUAUGUUGCUGAUUUGCUUGUAUUUUUUUUUCAUAUUUGGGGUUUUCAUUUUUAUUAGCAUUAUGUUGUUGUUGCUGAUUUGCUUGCUGAAUUCCAUAGCAUUUCAUUUAGUAUUAUGUUUGAUUAUAUAUAAAUCUUAAAUGGAUUUCAUAUAUUGGAUUUCAUAUAUUGGAUAUCAUAUAUUUUCUUUGUGAGUAAUUUUUUUAUUUUAAUUAUUUUUCUGUUUUUAUUAUUUUUAAGUGUUGAAUAUUUUGUUGUAUUCACAUAUUAUAAAUGACACCCAAAAAAACAUCGGCUAG
rnacentral:lncRNA from 1 species